GGAUAUAGCUUAGUGGCAGAGCGCAUGCUUAGCAUGCACAAGGUCUUGGGUUCAAUCCCCAGUACCUCCA
rnacentral:tRNA from 1 species